rnacentral:rRNA from 1 species
UACGUAGGCAGCGAGCGUUGUCCGGAAUUAUUGGGCGUAAAGAGCUCGUAGGCGGUUCGUCACGUCGGCUGUGUAAACCUGAGGCUCAACCUCAGGCCUGCAGUCGAUACGGGCGGACUUGAGUACUGCAGGGGAGACUGGAAUUCCUGGUGUAGCGGUGAAAUGCGCAGAUAUCAGGAGGAACACCGGUGGCGAAGGCGGGUCUCUGGGCAGUAACUGACGCUGAGGAGCGAAAGCGUGGGGAGCGAACAGG